rnacentral:rRNA from 1 species
UUUUGACCUCGAAUCAGGUGGGACUACCCGCUGAACUUAAGCAUAUCAAUAAGCGGAGGAAAAGAAACUAACAAGGAUUCCCUUAGUAACUGCGAGUGAAGUGGGAUGAGCUCAAAUUUAAAAUCUGGUAGUCUCUGGCUGCCCGAGUUGUAAUCUAGAGAAGUGUUUUCUGUGCUGGACUGCAUUCAAGUUUCCUGGAUAUGGAACAUCAUAGAGGGUGAGAAUCCCGUCUUUGGUGCAGACUCCCAGUGCUCUGUGAUGCGCUCUCAACGAGUCGAGUUGUU